rnacentral:rRNA from 1 species
UACGUAGGGUGCAAGCGUUGUCCGGAAUUAUUGGGCGUAAAGAGCUCGUAGGCGGUUUGUCGCGUCUGCUGAGCGGAACUCGGACUACGUCGCUGCAGUGGGUACGGGCAGACUAGAGUGAUGACGGGAGGGAGUGAAUUCGAUUCGUGGUAGCUGGUGGUAAAAUGCGCAGAUAUCAGGAGGAACACCGGUGCGGAAGGCGGGUCUCUGG